rnacentral:rRNA from 1 species
UACGGAGGGGGCUAGCGUUGUUCGGAAUUACUGGGCGUAAAGCGCACGUAGGCAGACUGUUAAGUCGGGGGUGAAAUCCUGGGGCUCAACCUCAGAAUUGCCUCCGAUACUGGCAGUCUCGAGUGCGGGAGAGGUGAGUGGAAUUCCCAGUGUAGAGGUGAAAUUCGUAGAUAUUAGGAAGAACACCAGUGGCGAAGGCGGCUCACUGGUCCGGUACUGACGCUGAGGUGCGAAAGCGUGGGGAGCAAACAGG